UAUCGCAGGAGUGAAGCUGCCGGUUCACUCUUCAAAGCGUCGUUUUACUCUCGCAAAAUGUCGAGGAGAGUGAAAUGCAUUGUUCACUCUGUCACCAAGGAGAGAGUGAAAUGUGCUUUUCACUCUCCCCUUCAGAGAGAGAGAGUGAAAAGACUCUUGCGACAAUAGAAAAGAGAGACUCUUGCGGCAAUAGAAAACAAAACGUAGCGUAAUCUUCUGCUUCAACUGUAGGUGGCUGGCCCCGAACAUGGCAAUGUAUCAUUCGUGCACGCUGAGCAAAGAACACAUCGUUUUGCUUCUAAGAGAACAGGCCGCCGCAGUUCAAAGGAACGCGUAGCGAGCGCUCUACUUUUUCACUCGGAGUGGCUCCACCGCGCGCGCGCGCGCUCAAGAUCGCGGAACAACACAGCACUGGAGAAAGUAGAUCCAUCCAGCGAGCAAAGGCCAGCCGAGGGAGAUCGUGUGGCAGCCAUCUCGCGUCGCCACGAAAACACGACAGUCGUUCGUCAUGCCUUGGAUAUAACAACAAAUCCUCCACGGCACCCGCUUUAUAUAACGCAAGAAGGCAGCUGCAAGGACACGAGGAUGUGAAAGAGCCAGUGCAGCGCGACUUCACGUAGUGUAGAGGAGCCAAUGCCAAAAAAUCAAAAUACAUUGGCAUGUUAUUUGGACAAGAAAACUAGGACAACCCAGGACGUGCAUUUCUCAGCACCCAGUCAACUGCGAAAAGUGACUCAAACACAGGCCACCACACCAUUGGAACUGGUGGCUGCGUUUUCAGAAGGAGAAGUGCACUUGACACUGUAUAUGUAUGUGUGAAUUCGGUUUUCUUUGUAUGUGUCGGCUCACUGACAAACAGUGCAAAAAUCUGUUGUACCACGAGCCUGACGACGCCUUCUGCUGCUAGAAAUGCGGCACUUCGUAUUUUAUAGUACUGCAUGACAUUUAAAUCAAAGCUACCACAUAAAAUGAUCAAGGAAACUAACCGCUGUUAUAGCUGUUUUCCUCAAAGAACGCUUGUCCUUUAUGGGCUGUGUUAAUCUGAGCUCUCCACCGAUGUUUCAGUAAUAUUAUCCCUUAGUGAGUGAGAGAUUGGGGGCAAUUAAUCGUGUUAGUGUUUAAGUGGUGUCCUAAUUAUGUGCAUUUGUUCCAACAAAGUUGUCUAGAUUACUUUAUUGUGUAGUGUAAAGCUUAUGAAACCAUCAGCAACUACUGAGUUGCUAACACGCAUAUGGAUUUGUCACUAUACAGGUGGAACUCUGCUGUACCACUGCAGUGCUGCGGAAAUUGCCUUCACCAGCGGCUUUGCAACAGCUGUUUCGCAGCAUGUCGGAGACAAUGCCUACGAAAUUAUUGGCCCUGAUCAUGAGAGCCCUCAAGGGGCAAACAACAUCUGUGUUGCAGAAGUGAGCCCGGUACCACUUGGAAGUUACCAUGACAGAUGACACGGCAGCAAUAGAUACAGAGACUGCCACGUCUACUGCAGCUGCAACAGUGUACGAGGCAAGCAGCAGCGCGUCAGCAGCAGUGUCAGAAGGAACCACACCAGGCCUGGUAGAGCAACAUGUGUGCUAUCACUGACUUUUUUUGUAGUGGAUACAACUCAUUUGCUCAACAUACAAAAGCUUUUCACCACGACUGUGAGCCAGUGUUAUUGUGCAGCAAGUGCAAGACUAAGUUAAGUGUUAUAGCACAGUACAAGCAUCACUUUAACAUAUGAAAACAUAUUACAGUUGUUGCCUCCCCAGCCAGCCCACAUAGCCACAACAAUGUUGAACACAUGGUGGGACACACAUCUUCUCCAUUAGAAGAUAGUAGAGACUGUCAGUGUUGUUGUUAGAUUAACUGGUCUUUGUAGGCAACUAGGACAACACAGGUGUCAUAAGAUUGUUGUUGAUGUUGUUGUUGAAGAGGUAAAAAAGAAGUUUGAUGCAGCUGAAGUGCCAACUGAUAUUGAGCAAAUCAAAAGCAGCCACCUGAGAAAGCAACACUAUCAAAAUUUGGGUAUCUAUGUGCCGCCAACUCUGGUAAGAAUGGCAUAGGACAGAAGUGUGAUGAAAAUCACACAGACACUGCUGUUGCAUCACUGGCCACAGUGAGCAGCGACUUGUAGGGCAAGAGAGUCAACUGAAACUAACAUUAUGAUAUAGUGUCAUGCUCCCAUGUGACCACUUUUCAAGUUAUUUUGCAAGAUACAGCUCAACCUCCAGAAACAAGACUGCAAGUUGUCUGUAAAAAAGCUUUCACAAAAAAUUAUUCAUAACACCAUUAACAUAGCAGUAUCUUUUUUUUGUGUCGGUUCGAGGUUCCCGGCUGUCCAUUAAUGCAAAAAUUGAAAAAAAGAACAUGUGUUGUACUUACACCUUUUUAACAAGUACGAGGGGGACAGAACUUUUCUAGUCAUGCAUCUUCAUCAUACUAUCAAGUUUUUAAAUGCCUUUUAUAAUUAUUAUUACCAGUUAUAUCUGAGUGCAUUGUAUGCAUGUAGCAGGUGUAAAAUCAGGUCAGUUGGAUCAGAUGCCUUAUCUGCAAGCGAGCCCUAUAUUCAAGAAAUUUGAAUUAAAAUAGUUACGUUAGAGACGCAGUCUUUCAGCACUUUAUUGCCUGUGGUUUAAGCAUUGCUCAAUACUUUUGUGGGUAGCAAUUUCAACCGGCACAGCACUGCGCUUUGCCACAGUCACAUUUGUCUUCAAAGCGGUGUUUACCAUUUGUGUUGAUCUGUUUGUGUAUGCAUAGAGCAAGUUUUUAAUUUAUAUUUUUCUGCAUUCUUGUGCUUGCACUAAGCUUGUAUAAGGCAGUUACAAAAUGUGCGGCACUAUAACGAACUGUUCUGUUGAGCUUACACUUGCAAAUAAUCGUGUUCAGAUGGCCGCACUUCUAUGCGGGUGCACCGCUAGCUUUGUGUAUGUUCUCAUGUUUGUAUAAAGCUUAUAUAAGCUAGUUAGAAAAUGUAUGUCACUAAGCAUUGUGAUAUUCUUUAAAGAACUGCUUGGUUGGUUUUACACUUGUGAAUUAGUAUUGAGGCGGUGGUAUUCCCAUGUAUGCCCACUGCUAGCUUUCUGUGUCCUCACGUGUUUGUAUUAAGUUUCUACAAGGGAGUUACAGCAUGUACGUCACUAAGCGCUGUGAUAUUUUUUAAAGAACUGCUUUGUUGGUUUUACACCUGUGAGUAAUAGUACUCGUGUGGCACUAGUCAUGUGUAGGUACACAGGGACCAUUUGUAUACAUUAUGCUCAUGUAAAGCAGUUACAAAGUGUAUGUCACUAAUUACUGUGAUAUUUGUUGAAUUGCUGUGAUGGUUUUACACAUGUGAAUAAUAGUGGUCAGGACACAGUACUUGCGGUGUAUAGUUGAAUUUAUACACUGCCAAGACAUGGGCUGUAUACGUACCAAAAGAAAUGUAUGUCAUUAUAUUGUUGUGAUUAUUACUGUUUGGAUUUUAUUAAACUGUAAUAAAGUUGUUUCUUGUAUC